GUCCACGCCGUAAACGAUGGACACUAGGCGUCGGGGGGAGCGACCCUCCCGGUGCCGUCGCUAACGCAGUAAGUGUCCCGCCUGGGGAGUACGGCCGCAAGGCUGAAACUCAAAAGGAAUUGACGGGGGCCCGCACAAGCGGUGGAGCAUGUGGUUUAAUUCGAAGCAACGCGAAGAACCUUACCUGGGCUUGACAUGCUGGUGAAAGCCGGUGGAAACAUCGGUCCCUCUUCGGAGCGCCAGCACAGGUGCUGCAUGGCUGUCGU
rnacentral:rRNA from 1 species